UACGAGAGGCCCAAGCGUUAUUCGGAUUUACUGGGCUUAAAGAGUUCGUAGGCGGCGCAGAAAGUAGGGUGUGAAAGCCCUCGGCUCAACCGAGGAAUUGCGCCCUAAACUACUGUGCUCGAGGGACCUAGAGGUGAGCAGAACUGAUGGUGGAGCGGUGAAAUGCGUAGAUAUCCGAAGGAACAUCAGUGGCGAAGGCGGCUUCCUGGACCAGAACUGACGAUCAGGCACGAAAGCGUGGGGAGCAAACAGG
rnacentral:rRNA from 1 species